UACGGGGGGGGCAAGCGUUGUUCGGAAUUACUGGGCGUGAAGGGCUCGUAGGCGGCCAACUAAGUCAAACGUGAAAUCCCUCGGCUUAACCGGGGAACUGCGUCUGAUACUGGAUGGCUUGAGUUUGGGAGAGGGAUGCGGAAUUCCAGGUGUAGCGGUGAAAUGCGUAGAUAUCUGGAGGAACACCGGUGGCGAAGGCGGCAUCCUGGACCAACACUGACGCUGAGGAGCGAAAGCCAGGGGAGCAAACGGG
rnacentral:rRNA from 1 species